rnacentral:rRNA from 1 species
AGAGUUUGAUCAUGGCUCAGGACGAACGCUGGCGGCGUGCUUAACACAUGCAAGUCGAACGGUGACCUCGGAGCUUGCUCCGGGCGAUCAGUGGCGAACGGGUGAGUAACACGUGAGUAACCUGCCCCAGACUCUGGGAUAACCCCGGGAAACCGGAGCUAAUACCGGAUACGACACGAAGAGGCAUCUCUAUCGUGUGGAAAGUUUUUCGGUCUGGGAUGGACUCGCGGCCUAUCAGCUAGUUGGUGAGGUAACGGCUCACCAAGGCGACGACGGGUAGCCGGCCUGAGAGGGCGACCGGCCACACUGGGACUGAGACACGGCCCAGACUCCUACGGGAGGCAGCAGUGGGGAAUAUUGCACAAUGGGCGAAAGCCUGAUGCAGCGACGCCGCGUGGGGGAUGACGGCCUUCGGGUUGUAAACCCCUUUCAGCAGGGAAGAAGCGAAAGUGACGGUACCUGCAGAAGAAGCACCGGCUAACUACGUGCCAGCAGCCGCGGUA